rnacentral:other from 1 species
GGCGGGCUGCCCGGUUCGUGAUGGGACUUUUCCAGGGGCCUAUGUCGAUUCUUAUGGGAGUUGUCCCUGUGCCUGACCGUGGUCUCGCACACACGGCGCCCACCUACGUUACGUAGGGAACCCGGAAUCGAAACCCCACACGGCCAUGGCGGCUUCGCC